rnacentral:rRNA from 1 species
AUUGAACGCUGGCGGCAGGCUUAACACAUGCAAGUCGAGCGGAGAGAGGUAGCUUGCUACCGAUCUUAGCGGCGGACGGGUGAGUAAUGCUUAGGAAUCUGCCUAUUAGUGGGGGACAACAUUUCGAAAGGAAUGCUAAUACCGCAUACGUCCUACGGGAGAAAGCAGGGGAUCUUCGGACCUUGCGCUAAUAGAUGAGCCUAAGUCGGAUUAGCUAGUUGGUGGGGUAAAGGCCUACCAAGGCGACGAUCUGUAGCGGGUCUGAGAGGAUGAUCCGCCACACGGGGACUGAGACACGGCCCAGACUCCUACGGGAAGCAGCAGUGGGGAAUAUUGGACAAUGGGCGGAAGCCUGAUCCAGCCAUGCCGCGUGUGUGAAGAAGGCCUUAUGGUUGUAAAGCACUUUAAGCGAGGAGGAGGCUACUUUAGUUAAUACCUAGAGAUAGUGGACGUUACUCGCAGAAUAAGCACCGGCUAACUCUGUGCCAGCAGCCGCCGUAACAC